GGGUUGUGAGGUUAAGCGACUAAGCGUACACGGUGGAUGCCCUGGCAGUCAGAGGCGAUGAAGGACGUGCUAAUCUGCGAAAAGCGUCGGUAAGGUGAUAUGAACCGUUACAGCCGGCGAUGUCCGAAUGGGGAAACCCAGUGCAAUUCGUUGCACUAUCGUUAACUGAAUACAUAGGUUAACGAGGCGAACCGGGGGAACUGAAACAUCUAAGUACCCCGAGGAAAAGAAAUCAACCGAGAUUCCCCCAGUAGCGGCGAGCGAACGGGGAGCAGCCCAGAGUCUGAAUCAGCUUGUGUGUUAGUGGAACGGUCUGGAAAGUCCGACGGUACAGGGUGAUAGUCCCGUACACCAAAAUGCACAGGCUGUGAACUCGAAGAGUAGGGCGGGACACGUGGUAUCCUGUCUGAAUAUGGGGGGACCAUCCUCCAAGGCUAAAUACUCCUGACUGACCGAUAGUGAACCAGUACCGUGAGGGAAAGGCGAAAAGAACCCCGGCGAGGGGAGUGAAAAAGAACCUGAAACCGUGUACGUACAAGCAGUGGGAGCACCUUCGGGUGUGACUGCGUACCUUUUGUAUAAUGGGUCAGCGACUUAUAUUCUGUAGCAAGGUUAACCGUAUAGGGGAGCCGCAGGGAAACCGAGUCUUAACUGGGCGUUAAGUUGCAGGGUAUAGACCCGAAACCCGGUGAUCUAGCCAUGGGCAGGUUGAAGGUUGGGUAACACUAACUGGAGGACCGAACCGACUAAUGUUGAAAAAUUAGCGGAUGACUUGUGGCUGGGGGUGAAAGGCCAAUCAAACCGGGAGAUAGCUGGUUCUCCCCGAAAGCUAUUUAGGUAGCGCCUCGUGAAUUCAUCUUCGGGGUAGAGCACUGUUUCGGCUAGGGGGUCAUCCCGACUUACCAACCCGAUGCAAACUACGAAUACCGAAGAAUGUUAUCACGGGAGACACACGGCGGGUGCUAACGUCCGUCGUGAAGAGGGAAACAACCCAGACCGCCAGCUAAGGUCCCAAAGUCACAGUUAAGUGGGAAACGAUGUGGGAAGGCACAGACAGCCAGGAUGUUGGCUUAGAAGCAGCCAUCAUUUAAAGAAAGCGUAAUAGCUCACUGGUCGAGUCGGCCUGCGCGGAAGAUGUAACGGGGCUAAACUGUGCACCGAAGCUGCGGCAGCGACACUUAGGUGUUGUUGGGUAGGGGAGCGUUCUGUAAGCCUGCGAAGGUGGCCUGUGAGGGUUGCUGGAGGUAUCAGAAGUGCGAAUGCUGACAUAAGUAACGAUAAUGCGGGUGAAAAGCCCGCACGCCGGAAGACCAAGGGUUCCUGUCCAACGUUAAUCGGGGCAGGGUGAGUCGACCCCUAAGGCGAGGCCGAAAGGCGUAGUCGAUGGGAAACAGGUUAAUAUUCCUGUACUUGGUGUUACUGCGAAGGGGGGACGGAGAAGGCUAUGUUAGCCGGGCGACGGUUGUCCCGGUUUAAGCAUGUAGGCGGAGGUUCCAGGUAAAUCCGGUACCUUUUAACGCUGAGGUGUGAUGACGAGGCACUACGGUGCUGAAGUAACAAAUGCCCUGCUUCCAGGAAAAGCCUCUAAGCAUCAGGUAACAUUGAAUCGUACCCCAAACCGACACAGGUGGUCAGGUAGAGAAUACCAAGGCGCUUGAGAGAACUCGGGUGAAGGAACUAGGCAAAAUGGUGCCGUAACUUCGGGAGAAGGCACGCUGAUAUGUAGGUGAAGCCCCUGCGGGUGGAGCUGAAAUCAGUCGAAGAUACCAGCUGGCUGCAACUGUUUAUUAAAAACACAGCACUGUGCAAACACGAAAGUGGACGUAUACGGUGUGACGCCUGCCCGGUGCCGGAAGGUUAAUUGAUGGGGUUAUCCGUAAGGAGAAGCUCUUGAUCGAAGCCCCGGUAAACGGCGGCCGUAACUAUAACGGUCCUAAGGUAGCGAAAUUCCUUGUCGGGUAAGUUCCGACCUGCACGAAUGGCGUAAUGAUGGCCAGGCUGUCUCCACCCGAGACUCAGUGAAAUUGAACUCGCUGUGAAGAUGCAGUGUACCCGCGGCAAGACGGAAAGACCCCGUGAACCUUUACUAUAGCUUGACACUGAACAUUGAGCCUUGAUGUGUAGGAUAGGUGGGAGGCUUUGAAGCGUGGACGCCAGUCUGCGUGGAGCCAACCUUGAAAUACCACCCUUUAAUGUUUGAUGUUCUAACGUUGGCCCCUGACCGGGGUUGCGGACAGUGUCUGGUGGGUAGUUUGACUGGGGCGGUCUCCUCCCAAAGAGUAACGGAGGAGCACGAAGGUUAGCUAAUCCUGGUCGGACAUCAGGAGGUUAGUGCAAUGGCAUAAGCUAGCUUGACUGCGAGCGUGACGGCGCGAGCAGGUGCGAAAGCAGGUCAUAGUGAUCCGGUGGUUCUGAAUGGAAGGGCCAUCGCUCAACGGAUAAAAGGUACUCCGGGGAUAACAGGCUGAUACCGCCCAAGAGUUCAUAUCGACGGCGGUGUUUGGCACCUCGAUGUCGGCUCAUCACAUCCUGGGGCUGAAGUAGGUCCCAAGGGUAUGGCUGUUCGCCAUUUAAAGUGGUACGCGAGCUGGGUUUAGAACGUCGUGAGACAGUUCGGUCCCUAUCUGCCGUGGGCGCUGGAGAAUUGAGGGGGGCUGCUCCUAGUACGAGAGGACCGGAGUGGACGCAUCACUGGUGUUCGGGUUGUCAUGCCAAUGGCAUUGCCCGGUAGCUAAAUGCGGAAGAGAUAAGUGCUGAAAGCAUCUAAGCACGAAACUUGCCCCGAGAUGAGUUCUCCCUGAGACUUUAAGUCUCCUGAAGGAACGUUAAAGACGAUGACGUUGAUAGGUCGGGUGUGUAAGCGUAGCGAUACGUUGAGCUAACCGAUACUAAUGAACCGUGAGGCUUAACCUUACAACGCCGAAGGUGUUU
rnacentral:rRNA from 1 species